CCUGCCUCUGCCCACCAAGUGCUGGUAUUAAAGGUGUGUGCCACCAGCACCCAGCUUAAGGGUUUUUUUAAACAGGGGUUUUUAUGGUUUUUAGAAGAGUGUUUUAGUGGUAUUUUGUGGUAUUCAGGGCUUAGUGUAUAUUUAGUGGUUUUUCCGGUUUUAUAAAGGAUUUUUAGUAUGUUAGGUUUGGGGGCUAAUUUUUUAGGCUUUAUGGUUUUUUUUUAGGGUUUAACUUUUUUGGGUUUUUU
rnacentral:lncRNA from 1 species